UAUACUGCCUUAAAAAUAUGCAGACAGCUUUAGUUUAUUUUUUUGGAUUAAGGCAAGACCUAACUUAAUGGAUUCAGAAUACCCCUCUCUAUAGAGCUCCAUUAGAAUAACUUAAAGAUCGUUAGAUGAGGCUGGGCAUGAUGGCUCACGCCUAAUCCCAGCACUUCAGCCAGCCUGGCCAACAUGGUGAAACCCUGCCUCUACUAAAACAUACAAAAAAUUAGCUGGGUGUGGUGGC
rnacentral:lncRNA from 1 species